rnacentral:rRNA from 1 species
GGUUUGAUUCUGGCUCAGAUUGAACGCUGGCGGGAUGCUUUACAUGCAAAAUCGAACGGCAGCACGGACUUCGGUCUGGUGGCGAGUGGCGAACAGGUGAGUAAUGUAUCCGGAACGUGCCCUAGUAGCGGGGAUAUUACGCGAAAGCGUAGCUAAUACCGCAUACGCCCUUCGGGGGAAAGCGGGGACCUUCGGGCCUCGCACUAUUAGAGCGGCCGAUAUCGGAUUAGCUAAAGUUGGUGGGAGUAACGGCUCACCAAGGCGACGAUCAAUAGCUGGUUUGAGGAAGGACGACCAACCACACUGGGACUGGUUUGACCCAGACUCCUACGGGAGGCAGCAGUGGGGAAUUUUGGACAAUGGAAGCCUGAUCCAGCGCCAUCCGCGUGCGAUGAAGGCCUUCGGGUUGUAAAGCACUUUUGGCAGGAAAGCGGCACGGGAUAAUACCCCGUGCAACUGACGGUACCACAAGAAUAAGCACCGGCUAACUACGUGCCAGCAGCCGCGGUAAUACGUAGGUGCAGCGUUAAUCGGAACCACUGGGCGUAAAGCGUGCGCAGGCAGUUUGAAGAAGAUGUGAAAUCCCAGAGCUUAACUUUGGAACUUUGCAUUUUCUUUACCGAGCUAGAGAGUGUGUCAGAGGGAGGUGGAAUUCCGCGAUAAUAACCCGGUAGAAAUGCGUAGAUAUGCGGAGGAACACCGAUGGCGAAGGCCUCCUGGGUCAAACACUGACGCUGUGCACAGCGUGGGGAGCAAACAGGAUUAGAUACCCUGGUCACCUAAGCGUGUCCUUAGCUGUUGGGGCGCUGGAAGGCGCGACCGGCGCAGCUAACGCGUGAAGUUGACCGCCUGGGGAAGUACGGUCGCAAGAUUAAAAACUCGGAAAUUGACGGGGACCCGCACAAGCGGUGGAUGAUGUGGAUUAAUUCGAUGCAACGCGAAAAACCUUACCUACCCUUGACAUGUCUGGAAUCCCGAAGAGAUUUGGGAGUGCUCGCAAGAGAACCGGAACACAGGUGCUGCAUGGCUGUCGUCAGCUCGUCAUCUGGUGAGAUGUUGGGUUAAGUCCCGCAACGAGCGCAACCCUUGUCAUUGAUUGGCUACGAGAACUCUAAUGAGACUGCCGGUGACAAACCGGAGGAAGGUGGGGAUGACGUCAAGUCCUCAUGGCCCUUAUGGGUAGGGCUUCACACGUCAUACAAUGGUCGGGACAGAAAGUUCGCCCAACCCGCAGGGGGAGCCAAUCCCAGAAACCCGAUCGUAGUCGGAUCGCAGUCUGCAACUCGACUGCGUGAAGUCAGAAUCGCUAGUAAUCGCGGAUCAGCGUCGCGGUGGUCGUUCCCGGGUCUUGUACACCGCCCGUCACACCAUGGGAGUGGGUUUUACCGAAGUAGUUAGCCUAACCGUAAGGAGGGCGAUUACCACGGUAGAGUUCAUGACUGGGGUGAAGUCGUAACUUAAGGUAA